rnacentral:rRNA from 1 species
UACAGAGGUCUCAAGCGUUGUUCGGAUUCAUUGGGCGUAAAGGGUGUGUAGGUGGCGCCGUAAGUCGGGUGUGAAAUUUCGGAGCUUAACUCCGAAACUGCAUUCGAUACUGCGGUGCUUGAGGACUGGAGAGGAGACUGGAAUUCACGGUGUAGCAGUGAAAUGCGUAGAUAUACGGAGGAACACCAACGGCGAAAGCACUCUGCUGGGCCGAAACUGACACUGAGAGACGAAAGCUAGGGGAGCAAAUGGG